rnacentral:rRNA from 1 species
UUAAGUUAUUAAGGGCGCACGGUGGAUGCCUUGGCACUAGAAGCCGACGAAGGACGUUACUAACGACGAUAUGCUUUGGGUAGCUGUAAGUAAGCGUUGAUCCAGAGAUUUCCGAAUGGGGGAACCCAGCACGAGUUAUGUCGUGUUAUCGACAAGUGAAUUCAUAGCUUGUCAGAAGGCAGACCCGGAGAACUGAAACAUCUUAGUACCCGGAGGAAGAGAAAGAAAAAUCGAUUCCCUGAGUAGCGGCGAGCGAAACGGGAAGAGCCCAAACCAAUAAGCUUGCUUAUUGGGGUUGUAGGACACUCUAUACGGAGUUACAAAGGAAUAUAUUAGACGAAUCAUCUGGAAAGUUGAAUCAAAGAAGGUAAUAAUCCUGUAGUUGAAAAUAUAUUCUCUCUUGAGUGGAUCCUGAGUACGACGGAGCACGUGAAAUUCCGUCGGAAUCUGGGAGGACCAUCUCUUAAGGCUAAAUACUCUCUAGUGACCGAUAGUGAACCAGUACCGUGAGGGAAAGGUGAAAAGUACCCCGGAAGGGGAGUGAAAGAGAACUUGAAACCGUGUGCUUACAAGUAGUCAGAGCCCGUUAAUGGGUGAUGGCGUGCCUUUUGUAGAAUGAACCGGCGAGUUACGAUCUGAUGCAAGGUUAAGCAGGAAAUGUGGAGCCGUAGCGAAAGCAAGUCUGAAUAGGGCGUUGAGUAUUUGGUCGUAGACCCGAAACCAGGUGAUCUACCCAUGGUCAGGUUGAAGUUCAGGUAACACUGAAUGGAGGACCGAACCGACUUACGUUGAAAAGUGAGCGGAUGAACUGUGGGUAGCGGAGAAAUUCCAAUCGAACUUGGAGAUAGCUGGUUCUCUCCGAAAUAGCUUUAGGGCUAGCCUCAAGUGAUGAUUAUUGGAGGUAGAGCACUGUUUGGACGAGGGGCCCCUCUCGGGUUACCGAAUUCAGACAAACUCCGAAUGCCAAUUAAUUUAACUUGGGAGUCAGAACAUGGGUGAUAAGGUCCGUGUUCGAAAGGGAAACAGCCCAGACCACCAGCUAAGGUCCCAAAAUAUAUGUUAAGUGGAAAAGGAUGUGGCGUUGCCCAGACAACUAGGAUGUUGGCUUAGAAGCAGCCAUCAUUUAAAGAGUGCGUAAUAGCUCACUAGUCGAGUGACACUGCGCCGAAAAUGUACCGGGGCUAAACAUAUUACCGAAGCUGUGGAUUGUCCGUAGGACAAUGGUAGGAGAGCGUUCUAAGGGCGUUGAAGCAUGAUCGCAAGGACAUGUGGAGCGCUUAGAAGUGAGAAUGCCGGUGUGAGUAGCGAAAGACGGGUGAGAAUCCCGUCCACCGAUUGACUAAGGUUUCCAGAGGAAGGCUCGUCCGCUCUGGGUUAGUCGGGUCCUAAGCUGAGGCCGACAGGCGUAGGCGAUGGAUAACAGGUUGAUAUUCCUGUACCACCUAGCAUCGUUUUAAUCGAUGGGGGGACGCAGUAGGAUAGGCGAAGCGUACGAUUGGAUUGUACGUCCAAGCAGUGAGAUUGAGUGUUAGGCAAAUCCGGCACUCUUAAGAUUGAGCUGUGAUGGGGAGAGGAAAUUGUUUCCUCGAGUCGUUGAUUUCACACUGCCGAGAAAAGCCUCUAGAUAGAUAAUAGGUGCCCGUACCGCAAACCGACACAGGUAGUCAAGAUGAGAAUUCUAAGGUGAGCGAGCGAACUCUCGUUAAGGAACUCGGCAAAAUGACCCCGUAACUUCGGGAGAAGGGGUGCUCUUUAGGGUGCAAGCCCAGAAGAGCCGCAGUGAAUAGGCCCAAGCGACUGUUUAUCAAAAACACAGGUCUCUGCUAAACCGUAAGGUGAUGUAUAGGGGCUGACGCCUGCCCGGUGCUGGAAGGUUAAGAGGAGUAGUUAGCUUCUGCGAAGCUACGAAUCGAAGCCCCAGUAAACGGCGGCCGUAACUAUAACGGUCCUAAGGUAGCGAAAUUCCUUGUCGGGUAAGUUCCGACCCGCACGAAAGGCGUAACGAUUUGGGCACUGUCUCAACGAGAGACUCGGUGAAAUCAUAGUACCUGUGAAGAUGCAGGUUACCCGCGACAGGACGGAAAGACCCCGUGGAGCUUUACUGUAGCCUGAUAUUGAAAUUCGGCACAGCUUGUACAGGAUAGGUAGGAGCCUUUGAAACGUGAGCGCUAGCUUACGUGGAGGCGCUGGUGGGAUACUACCCUAGCUGUGUUGGCUUUCUAACCCGCACCACUUAUCGUGGUGGGAGACAGUGUCAGGCGGGCAGUUUGACUGGGGCGGUCGCCUCCUAAAAGGUAACGGAGGCGCUCAAAGGUUCCCUCAGAAUGGUUGGAAAUCAUUCAUAGAGUGUAAAGGCAUAAGGGAGCUUGACUGCGAGACCUACAAGUCGAGCAGGGUCGAAAGACGGACUUAGUGAUCCGGUGGUUCCGCAUGGAAGGGCCAUCGCUCAACGGAUAAAAGCUACCCCGGGGAUAACAGGCUUAUCUCCCCCAAGAGUUCACAUCGACGGGGAGGUUUGGCACCUCGAUGUCGGCUCAUCGCAUCCUGGGGCUGUAGUCGGUCCCAAGGGUUGGGCUGUUCGCCCAUUAAAGCGGUACGCGAGCUGGGUUCAGAACGUCGUGAGACAGUUCGGUCCCUAUCCGUCGUGGGCGUAGGAAAUUUGAGAGGAGCUGUCCUUAGUACGAGAGGACCGGGAUGGACAUACCUCUGGUGUACCAGUUGUCGUGCCAACGGCAUAGCUGGGUAGCUAUGUAUGGACGGGAUAAGUGCUGAAAGCAUCUAAGCAUGAAGCCCCCCUCAAGAUGAGAUUUCCCAACUUCGGUUAUAAGAUCCCUCAAAGAUGAUGAGGUUAAUAGGUUCGAGGUGGAAGCGUGGUGACACGUGGAGCUGACGAAUACUAAUCGAUCGAAGACUUAAUCAA